CUCAUUUGUCCUUGGGGAACACUUGUCGGGUAGAAGAAAAAGAAACCCCAAAAUAUAAAAGAAAUGGGGAGGUAAAAGUAAACAAAGAUAAUAUUAUGU
ensembl:ncRNA H16O14.77 ncRNA